AGCUGGACCGAUGAUAGUGGGUUAUCAGAACUUAUUAACAUUAGUGUCACUAAAGUUGGUUUUCAACCCCCACUGCUAAAUUUGACCAACUUUAA
rnacentral:Y_RNA from 1 species